CAAAGGUACUGUGGAGAUUACACAUUUAUUUAAGGAUAAAUUGGUAAUUUGAUAUUGCUUUUCAUGCCUUUUCACUAGACGUGUGCACUCUAUAUUAGUAAACACGUGUGUUGAGCACUUUAAUUAGAUACAACCAGUUCAAAGAACUUAACUUUCUCUCUCUUCUUCACUCCUCAAAGCCCAUCUCUUCUCAACUUUUAAGGCUUCUCAUCAUUUUUCACUCUUUCAAGCACAUGGUUUCUGAUUGUAAUGAAGGCAUAUCCUCUUAAUUUUGCCUGUUCUUGAUUGAUUUCUUACAUGUGAGUCAUUAUAUUUUAGCACUUCUUUGUAUGCAUGUUUGAUAUAGGGAAUAGAUACUUGGGUACAUUUAUCGGAAUGCAUGUUUGUUUCCUUAUUGGAGAAUGAACACCUACUGAAAAUGGAACUUUUGGAAUGAAUACAUAUUUAUUUAGUUUACCCAGAUAUUGUUAUAGAAUUUUGGUGGGUAUCAAUUUGCACAAUAUUAUACCAAAGAUGCUCGACAAUAUGCCUAAUACAAAUAAAUUAUUUUUUCAAUUUUCUAAAGGUGUUUUUUUUUCUUCAAAUUGAGUUGUGCUUCUAUUUUCAUUCUAAAUUUAUAUGGGUUUUCUGAUAUCGUUGCACAAGUAAGUAGACUCAAUUUGUUGAGAACAGUCAAUGGAUGAAUCAAAAGGCGCAAAAGAGUAGAGUCAGACACGAAUUGUGCCAUUGACAAGAUAUACCCAUUUUCUCUCCUCCAACGCUCUUUUUAGGUGGGGUAAUCUAAUUGCAGCUUUGGGAUAAAUUAGUCGUGCUACCUUUUCCCUAAAGGUAAACAUGUUUUUUUUUUGGGUUUAUAUGCAAGAAGCAUCUCAUGGGGGACAACAAUCAACAGAUAAUUAGCUGGUGCGGGAUUAUACUCUGAAUAACAUGUUCGCAUACUCUUUUUAUCACUUGACACCUAGAAAAUUUUGGUAUAAAUUUGCUAUCCUAGACUUGAAGCAGUUAGAAACAAUUACCAUGAACUACCCUAUGCCUUCAAACUUAAAACAAGAUUUUUUUUUAUUUUUUUUUUAAAUUCUCUUACUCAUUCACAAAGAUAUAAAGCAGUAUAUGUAGUAGUUAGAGAGUCAAAAGCUGUAAACACCUAAAAUACACUGACAUUCAAUGGUUAAUAGAAGUUUAAGCCAUGAUCAUCAUGUUCGACUCCAUUCUUUCAUAUUCGUUUGGAAUAUUCUAAGACUCAGAAGCAUAUUUGUAUUCUAUUAACAGUUGACUUGCAUAUUAUGCUCUUUGUUUAUGAAUCUAAGACUUUGAUCUCUGUAAAAAUCAGGUUUUGAAAGUUUUAUUUCUCAAAGAAAUACUUCUGAUUGGGUAUUGUGACCUUUUCUGUUAAAGAAUUCUUACGUAUCUAUAAGAAUUCUGUUAAGAAAGAACGCUGCAUUGGUAUUUAAAAGAAUGUUGCAUUGGUAUUUAAAUUGAAUAAUUUAAAAUCAAAGAUUAUUUAAAAAUGCUUUUUCAUAGCAUCGCAUCCUUGGAUAUUUGUUAUAUAAAUGAAUCGAUGAUGUUGAAUGAUUAAUGCAGGCAUCUAUUUCUUUUUUCCACAAUACUUAGGAAAAUGCAAAAGUCCAAUAUCACAUCAUGAUCAUUUACAGUCAUUAAUAUCCACCACAUUCUGGUUUUUGUUUUCAUUAACGAAAGAGUAACAAAGGAAUUUCCAACUGAUAAAUAGAAAAGACAAAGAAUUCAAGAAAUUACAGUAUAUUUUCACCUUAGUAAAGCUGAGAAUGAAGCAUGUCAUCCAUCAAUUAGAAGCCCCGUUGCAAGAAUUGUCGAGCAAGAAAAUUUCAGUUUUAGCCUUUACAUAGAAUUGUGUUAUUUCAUUGAGCAAUAAAAGACAACAUUUAUAAAUGUCCCACUUAUGUGAGGGUUUCUACUGACUGGUAAUCAAAGUUGUGAUUAGAAGAAUUACACUUCCUCAAGAAGAUAUUUGUAAGUCAUGUUCCAAACUCCCUCCAGCGUUAUGACAUUUUACAUACGAUGUUGUCUAUUCUGAAGUCACUAAAAAAACAUGUUCAUAAUAUUUUCAAAAACAUGUUCAUAAUAUUUUCCUAAACAUAUGUAAGAAAGACAAGACCGAGAUAUCAGUCAGCACAAACCCCCCACCACUCCAGCUGCAGAUUGGAGGUAAAGGAUGGACGAGAUUAAGAUAAAUGAGUCGGAUAGCUUUCACUCGGUAGAGAAGUUUGUCGUUUUCUCUUCUGUUUAUACCAGUUUCUGAGUUUAUCAUAUUAUGAUAAUGCCUUUUAUUUUUGCUAGGUAUUUAGUUUCACUCCCAGGAUUACACAUUUGCACUCAGGAUGAUGUUUUAAGGCAUUGAGGAGAAGUACAUUCUUUUAAGCAGUCGAAAAUGUAUAUCAAUUUUUAUUCUUUCACUUUAUUAUUGUUACGGAUUUGCUGCCGCGGUUAAAUGUUGUUUCCAUAGUUUUUGGUAUUGUUUCUGUUAUUAGAUAUUUUUAGGCGAGGAAAAGUUUCUUUUACAAUCUUGGCGCUUCUUGAAGAUGUGACAUUGUCGUCUUUGAGACUUCUCAUUGACAUUGUAGUGGUGAGCAAUAUCUCUUUGUUGCUAUAGAGAAGGAAAAAUGCAGUGGGAGAACCCUACAUCAUGUUGAGGCUUCAAUUGCAUAACUACCGAGUAAUGGAAAGAGACAUCAUUCAAGAUUAAAUUUCUAUAGUGAAAGGGAAAUGGGGACUCUAUACCACUGUUAUUGCCAUUGUUCUUGCUGCUCUGGGUUUGUAGUUUUUAUCUUUGUAUGAGUGAUGAACCAAUAACAUUUAGCUAUUAUUUAGCUUUGCACUUCACGUAUAACUGUCCUAGCACUUAAUGUAGUUGUUUUUCCUUUGGUUGAAUGUAGUUAUGUUAACUGCAACUGUAAGGGUGUUUCAACAAAAGUGUUAGCUACUGAAA